rnacentral:rRNA from 1 species
AUUGAACGCUGGCGGCAGGCCUAACACAUGCAAGUCGAACGGUAGCACAGAGAGCUUGCUCUCGGGUGACGAGUGGCGGACGGGUGAGUAAUGUCUGGGAAACUGCCCGAUGGAGGGGGAUAACUACUGGAAACGGUAGCUAAUACCGCAUAACGUCGCAAGACCAAAGUGGGGGACCUUCGGGCCUCACACCAUCGGAUGUGCCCAGAUGGGAUUAGCUAGUAGGUGGGGUAAUGGCUCACCUAGGCGACGAUCCCUAGCUGGUCUGAGAGGAUGACCAGCCACACUGGAACUGAGACACGGUCCAGACUCCUACGGGAGGCAGCAGUGGGGAAUAUUGCACAAUGGGCGCAAGCCUGAUGCAGCCAUGCCGCGUGUAUGAAGAAGGCCUUCGGGUUGUAAAGUACUUUCAGCGGGGAGGAAGGCGGUGAAGUUAAUAGCUUCACCGAUUGACGUUACCCGCAGAAGAAGCACCGGCUAACUCCGUGCCAGCCGCCGCCGCAG